rnacentral:snRNA from 1 species
GUGCUCAUCUUGGCAGCACAUAUACUAAAACUGGAAUGAUACAGAGAAGAUUAGGAUGGCCCCUACACAAGCAGUCCUGAAAUGUAAAGACUGCAUGGAGAAAGCUAUUU